rnacentral:rRNA from 1 species
GUAGGUGGCAAGCGUUGUCCGGAAUUAUUGGGCGUAAAGCGCGCGCAGGCGGUUCUUUAAGUCUGAUGUGAAAGCCCACGGCUCAACCGUGGAGGGUCAUUGGAAACUGGAGAACUUGAGUACAGAGGAGGAAAGCGGAAUUCCACGUGUAGCGGUGAAAUGCGUAGAGAUGUGGAGGAACACCAGUGGCGAAGGCGGCUUUCUGGUCUGUAACUGACGCUGAGGCGCGAAAGCGUGGGGAGCAAACAGGAUUAGAUACCCUGGUAGUCCACGCCGUAAACGAUGAGUGCUAAGUGUUAGGGGGGUUUUCCGCCCCCCUUAGUGCUGCAGCUAACGCAUUAAGCACUCCGCCUGGGAGUACGGCCGCAAGGCUG